rnacentral:tRNA from 3 species
UAGAUUGUAGUGUAACAUGGUAGCACGAAGAACUUUGAAUUCUUAAGGGUAGGUUCAAUUCCUAUUAUUCUAG